rnacentral:lncRNA from 1 species
UUUUUGUUUUUUUUUCCUCUAUUAAGGGACUAUACUUUUAAGAAAAGUUUGCUAUUUUUUAAAAAGAUUUUAUUUAUCCAUUUGACAGAGAAAGAGAACACAAGCAGGGGGAGAAGAGGGAGAAGCAGACUUACCACUGAGCUCCAUCCCAGGACCCCAGGAUCAUGACCUGAGCCGAAGGCAGCUGCUUAACCGACUAGGCCACCAGGUGCCCCUGCUACUGCUUUUAAGAAAAAAAUGAACUACUGUAAAUGCACAGACAUGGAUGUUUUCAGGAGACAUGCAAGCACUCUCGAGCAGAGGCCUGUAGAACAUGGCAGGAGCCGCCGCUGCAGACAGGAGGCUUCUUGCCCCCUCUAUGCACAGUGGCCAGUGGGAACAGCAGGUCAGAGUGUCUAACUGCCUCUGCUGUGAUCGCCUAGACUGGCCACCAACUCAUCACCACUGAAAACAGCUGUGGUGGUUUUCUCCUGGCGUGCUAUGCUCCACACACAGGUCAUGCCUCUGGCCACCAGAGAUGCCAUGCCCCGUGGGUGGCUUGGUCUUUGCUGGACCAUGGAUCUGAAGGGCAGCCCUGCACCUCAUCCCACACUGCCUGCAUUUACAAAGCCGACCCUCAGAUCAGGGCUGAGUGUGCCUACCAAUGCUGACCUAUCCACUAAGCUGCUGUGCCAAUCAAAAGAAGCAUUUCAUUGACAUCUCAGUUUGCUUGGUUUGCAAGUGUUACAGUGCAUGCCACUGCUCUCACCCAACUGGAAAAGCAUUCCAUGUAUACUUGACAAUGAGCUUUAAGAUGGACACUUGCAGGGCGCCUGGGUGGCUCAGUGGUGGAGCAUCUGCCUUUGGCUCAGGGCAUGAUCCCAGGGUCCUGGGAUCAAGUCCCACAUUGGACUCCCUGCAGGGAGCCUGCUUGUCCCUCUGCCUAUGUCUCUGCCUCUUCCUGUGUGUCUCUCAUGAAUAAAUAGAUAAAAUCUUCAAAAAAAAAAAAAAAGACACUUGCAAACAUCUCUUACCAUCUAAAAGAAAAUAUUUCUGCUGUAUGAACCAUAAGCAGCACAUGGAAGUCUUUCCUCGCAACCUGAAGUUGCACAUACUUUUCUAAAAACAGGAAGACAGGUAGAGAUCCUCCUAAAUCAGAUCUCAUGCACUCCAUCUUUCUGUGAUCAUGCAACAUGUCCUCGUGUCCAGGCUCAGGAACCAGAAUUCAUGGCAGGGUCGCGGAGCGUUCCUGGAGCCUCUGGCCGUGUCUCAGGCUGGUAGCUGGGGACCUCGGGAGGCCUGCUGACAGGUGCCAGGUCACCAGGGGCAGGAGUGCACAGCUUCAGUGGCAAUGUGGGAUACAGGGUAGGGAAGGAGAUGUGCCAGCCUCCAGAGCCUGGCAAGGCCUCUUCUACUCCCCAUGCUUGGUCACUUCACUUACAAAGAAGUUCACAGGUUUCCAUUUAUUUUUCCCAUUUUAAAAAAAUUAUUUAAUGACAUGUCUUUUGAGACCUGAGAUUCAUCAUGGCUCCCUUGGGACACAGGCAGGGCCAGGUGUGGGUGGGCCCAGCAUCCCAGUGACAGAGGGGGAAAUGUGAGGGGGAUGUAACCCCAGCUGCGUCCCAGGAAGGCAACAGCCACCCCCACAUGUGCUGGCUACCUCAGGACAGGACAGGCCCCCAAGUUCUCUGGGCACCCAAAGGCCCUGUGCCAGACUCUGGAGCCCGACACAUGCAGUGGGCAAUCUCAUAGACCACACGUUGGGCGGUGGCUCUUCUAUGUGUGGGUCCUUUGACCAAAGCACUGGCUUUUUUCCGACUAUGUCCCUGACUAGAACAAGCAUUUCAGAGCUACGAGUGCUGAGAGACCAUGUGCCGUCCCUGGACACUUCGGAUGCACUAAGGAGGAAGGAACAUGAAAGCCUUUAUUCUCGGGCAGGAAUACUUUAGUCCAAGAAACUCAGAGGAAGGAGUCUUUUAAAAACUCGACCCAUCAUCUCCCAGGGGCCAAGGAGUCCAUGCACAUCCCAGAAACGCGUGGAUGCUGCCCCUUUGCAGACGGCACAAAGGAGGAAAGCUCCAGAAUCAACUGUGAUGUGCAGGAGGAGGACACAGACUCAGGUACAGCCUCCUUGCUCAGACCAGCACAGCCAGCACAGAUAGAGGAAGUGGUGCUGGAAUGACCAGCAGAUACAAGGAGGUCAGAAGACAACCUGCAAGGCACACUUGGCGGGUCCGUGGCCUCCCCACUGGAUGGACAACAGUCCACAGAUCAGCUGCCCUGAGGCCUCCACAUGUCCAGGUGCAGGGACGUUGGCGGGGCACACAGCCGGAGGCAGCCCAGGGUCCCGGGAGGGCAGGAGAGGCCCUGGCAGGAGACGAGGAAGGACGCCGACAAGGCCCGGGGCGCACACACACACUGUAGUUACAGCAGGUGUCAGCGCAGGGACGUCAGGAACGCCAGACAACUCCGUCCACCCAGAAUUACUGUGAAAUGGUGGUGAAACGGCACUGCCCUGUACGCUGGGCCAACACACAUCACGUCAUUCAAAAUGGUCAUUCAAAAUAAUAAAACGUGAGCAUCUGGAAAAUCAUGCACACAUAUACACAUGUGGAUGUACAUAUGGGGGGUGAGUUCAUCCUUAUCUUCCAAUGUGUUUUCUAAAUGUUUGCAGAUAGAACCUGUGCAGAUUUGUGUGUGGGGGUGAUGGGAGUUGUGUGUUUAUUUCCAGUGGGCCUGCUUGCAGGCACUUCGGAGAUGUAGUAUAUCAAGUUUUCUGUCAUCACUGUUUUUUUCCUAAGACCAGUUUGUUACUGUUCUUUUAGUAUGUGUUCUCAUACAUAGUGAGCUUGUGUUAAAAUAGGGCAUUUUUUUCCUAAUUAAAAAAAAAAUCACUUUUGUGUUCUAUAAAAAAAAAAAAAAAAAAAAAAAAAAAAAA